rnacentral:lncRNA from 1 species
UCUUCAACACACAAAAGGGGGGAACCAUCAAUCAGAGGAAGAAGUAUCACCUUCACCUUCAGAGCUUUCAGAGUUGCCACUGGAUUGAGCGUUUGAUCUCUCACUUGAAGUAUUUGCAUUUGAGUCUUUGGUCUCACCAGCCUUCUCCACCUCUUCCUUCUCUAGGCCACGAAUAAGAGCCUCCAAGGCCUCUUUUCUUGCUUUGGCAACCCUAAUACCAUUCUCC